UACGUAGGGCGCAAGCGUUAUCCGGAAUUAUUGGGGCGUAAAGAGCUCGUAGGCGGUUUGUCGCGUCUGCCGUGAAAGUCGGGCUCAACUCCGGAUCUGCGGUGGGUACGGGCAGACUAGAGUGAUGUAGGGGAGACUGGAAUUCCUGGUGUAGCGGUGAAAUGCGCAGAUAUCAGGAGGAACACCGGUGGCGAAGGCGGGUCUCUGGGCCGAUGACUGACGCUGAGGAGCGAAAGCGUGGGGAGCGAACAGG
rnacentral:rRNA from 1 species